GACGGAGGAUGCAAGCGUUAUCCGGAAUGAUUGGGCGUAAAGCGUCCGCAGGUGGCAGUUCAAGUCUGCUGUCAAAGACCGGGGCUUAACUUCGGAAAGGCAGUGGAAACUGAACAGCUAGAGUCCGGUAGGGGAGUGUGGAAUUCCCGGUGUAGCGGUGAAAUGCGCAGAUAUCAGGAGGAACACCGGUGGCGAAGGCGGGUCUCUGGGCCGAUACUGACGCUGAGGAGCGAAAGCAUGGGUAGCGAACAGG
rnacentral:rRNA from 1 species